AGAGACUCUUGUACAAGGACUGAGUGGUGAGUUUCUCUUGUAUUGGUUUUAUUUUAUUCUCUCAUAGUGAAGCUUGCAUGCCCCGCAGAGGUAGGCUUGAGGCCGAUCUAUGAUUUGUAUUAUAUUUCUUACUUUAUUUCUUAUUUCUUCCUGCUACAUCGUGUGGUACCGAAUCCUGCACAAUAAUUGGUAUCACAGUAAGGUGGUGCUAGAGCAUAGGUUGCGACGGUGA
rnacentral:lncRNA from 1 species